rnacentral:rRNA from 1 species
CUAAUACCGGAUAACAUAUUGAACCGCAUGGUUCAAUAGUGAAAGGCGGCUUUGCUGUCACUUAUAGAUGGAUCCGCGCCGUAUUAGCUAGUUGGUAAGGUAACGGCUUACCAAGGCAACGAUACGUAGCCGACCUGAGAGGGUGAUCGGCCACACUGGAACUGAGACACGGUCCAGACUCCUACGGGAGGCAGCAGUAGGGAAUCUUCCGCAAUGGGCGAAAGCCUGACGGAGCAACGCCGCGUGAGUGAUGAAGGUCUUCGGAUCGUAAAACUCUGUUAUCAGGGAAGAACAAAUGUGUAAGUAACUGUGCACAUCUUGACGGUACCUGAUCAGAAAGCCACGGCUAACUACGUGCCAGCAGCCGCGGUAAUACGUAGGUGGCAAGCGUUAUCCGGAAUUAUUGGGCGUAAAGCGCGCGUAGGCGGUUUUUUAAGUCUGAUGUGAAAGCCCACGGCUCAACCGUGGAGGGUCAUUGGAAACUGGAAAACUUGAGUGCAGAAGAGGAAAGUGGAAUUCCAUGUGUAGCGGUGAAAUGCGCAGAGAUAUGGAGGAACACCAGUGGCGAAGGCGACUUUCUGGUCUGUAACUGACGCUGAUGUGCGAAAGCGUGGGGAUCAAACAGGAUUAGAUACCCUGGUAGUCCACGCCGUAAACGAUGAGUGCUAAGUGUUAGGGGGUUUCCGCCCCUUAGUGCUGCAGCUAACGCAUUAAGCACUCCGCCUGGGGAGUACG